CAUUCAUCGAUCCAUCCACCCACCCAAUCACCCACCCACCUACCAUCCAUUCAUCCAUCAAUACACCCAUGCAACAUCCAUUCAUUCAGGCAUCUGUUCAUCUACCCACACACCUACCCAUUCAUCCACCCUCCCAGCCAUCCAUUCAUCCAUCAAUUCACGCAUGGAAUAUCCAUUCAUGCAGCCAUCCAUUCAUCUACCCACCCACCUACCCAUUUGUCCACCCACCUACCCAUCCAGUCAUCCAUCAAUCCACCCACGUAACAUCCAUUCAUCCAGCCAUCCACUCAUCUGCCCACCCACCUAUCCAUUAAUUCACCCACUCACCCACCUUUCCAUCCAUUCAUCCAUCAGUAUACUCAUGCAACACUGAUCCACCCACCCACCCCUUCAUCCAUCAAUCCACCCAUGGAACAUCCAUUCAUCCAGCCAUCCAUUCACCUACCCAUCUACCUACUCAUUCAUCUACCCACCCACCCACCCAUCCAUUCAUCCAUCAGUCCACCCAUCCAUUCAUCCAACUAUCCAUUCAUCUACCCACCUACCUACCCAGUCAUCCACUCACUUACCCAUAAUCCAUCCAUCAAUCUAUUCAUGCAUCUUGCAUCCACCCACCCACCCAUCCAUUCAUCCAUCAAUCCACCAAUGUGGCACCCAUUCAUCCACCCACCCACUCAUCCAUCUAUUCAUCCACCCACCCAUCCAUCCACCCUCCCACCUACCCAUCCAUCCAUCUUCCCACCCACCCGUCCAUUCAUCCACCCACACAUCCAUUCAUCCAUCAAUUCACUCAUGCAACAUAUAUCCACCUACCCAACCAUCCAUCCAUCCAUCAUGCAAACAUCAACUGGGCUUGUAAUUGUUGAAGACUGUUAGGUACAGAAGCAUCUAUAAUGCACAGGUUCUCGAUUGUGAAAAGGGGUUGUGUACACACCAGGAGGCAUCAGUGUUGUGUGGUGAGUAAGCCAUGAGAUGUGCGUGUUGUCUACUCAGACAAAAAUGGAUGAGCAGAGGGUGGAAUGCGGGUGUUGGUGCUGAGACUGGAACCACAUGUAUGUUGGUCUCCUUCCUACCCAGGGCCUUUGCUGUUACAGCCCAUUUCUUAGCAAACACCCAGUGACCCAGAUGAAUCAGAGAUGCAUGGAUGUACUCGCAACCAGCACAUUCCUGCUGGGACAGACAUAUAGCCCAAGCAUCUUGACCUCCAGGUGGCAUGUCCGCGCCAACGUGUGCAACCUAGUGGAUCGUGAGCAGCUGGGGGUGCAGCUGCCAGCACUCAGGGUGCCUGAGGAGUGAACAGUGGGGGGCUGAGCCACAAGAAGGAGAGGCAUUGGAGGGAGGUGGUCCAGCUGGACCCUUUCUCGUGGGAGGUGCAGAACCUGGUCUAGGACCACUGAAACUUGUUGUGUUGCCAGGAACAAGCCAGCUCACACCAGCUGGAACAUGGGCGCCAUCCUGGAGGGGAAGCGCAGCGGCUUUGCACCCUGCGGGCCCAAAGAGCGGCUUUCCAUGGAGAUGAUCCUAAAGGCUGAGGAAGGGAACCACGACUGGAUUUGUAGGAUCCUGAAGGGCAACUUUGCUAGUGCCGACGUGGCGGACGCAAAGGGCUACACUGUGCUUGCUGCGGCUGCCGUAAGCCCCACACCCUCCCGGCUGGUGCCCGUAGGAGCUUAGCUGUGAGGGUCACACAUGUGGGUGGCUCUCUGUGGCCCCCUCUGCAGGAGCAGAGCUGAGGUACAUGGGGACACUGAUGUGUCCACACCUCCACCUUGCCGUUCAGCAGAAACUCACUCAGCUGAGCGUGACACUCGUGGUCCAGUGCAGAAGGGUUUGGGGCAGAGUGCCCGUUCCAUUCCUCUGUCCCACACUUGUCCCUUUGCCAAGCUCCCGAAUGAGCACUGGUUCCUGCCCUGCCAUGGGGUGGCCUCAUGAGGGCAUCAGGACACCCGGUGACCCUUCCCGCCCUUGAGGGCCAGGCACAUCAUCCUGAGUCCCGCCUCAUUUCCCUCCAGACUCACUGCCACAACGACAUUGUGGACCUUCUCCUGGACUGUGGGGCCGAUGUGAACAAGUGCUCAGACGAGGGCCUCACAGCACUCAGCAUGUGUUUCCUCCUCUACUACCCCGCCCAGUCAUUCAAGCCCAAUGUUGCUGAACGGACCGUACCUGAGCCCCAGGAAUCUCCAAAAUUCCCAGUUGUUCCAAUCCUUUCAUCAUCAUUUAUGGACACAAACCUGGAGUCUCUGUACUAUGAGGUGAACGUGCCUUCCCAGGGUAGCUAUGAGCUGAGGCCACCGCCAACACCACCGGCACUGCCACACAUCUCGGGCAGCCAGGAGGGCGGCCACUCCCAGGACACCGGGCAGUGUGGGGAGUCCAUGGACCACAGGAGCAGCUCUCUGAAGGGGGACUCCCCGUUGGUGAAGGGCAGCCUUGGCCAUGUGGAAAGUGGGCUCGAGGACGUGCUGGGAAACACAGACCGGGGCAGUCUGUGCAGUCUUGAGACGAACUUUGAGUCCAAUGUGUGUGUGUGCAACUUCUCCAUCGAGCUCUCGCAGGCCAUGCUGGAGAGAAGCGCCCAGUCCCACAGCUUGCUGAAGAUGGCCUCACCCUCACUGUGUACCAGCAGCUUCGACAAAGGGACCAUGCGGAGGAUGGCGCUGUCCAUGAUCGAGUAGGUCCUGGCACCAGCUGGUGGGGGUGGAGGGCCACCAUCAGGGCUGAAUCCUAUGCUCAGCAGACCCGCGUCUCUUCCCUGUGCCAGCGGGAGGUGUUGUGUCUGGAGAUGUGUGUCUGAAUGUGUGAGCAUCCCUGUGUCGGUGGCUCCACGCCAUGGCCUGCUUUGGCCUUUGGCACUGGCCUGAAGUGUCUCUGUGGGAGCCUCAGCAGGGGCCACUGUCAGGGGUCCUAUCCUAGCCAUGGUGCAUGUGAGUGACACCUGCCUGGGCAGCUCACACACCCCUGCUGCCCACCCUGUCUAUACCAGUGUGUCUCAAAAUGUGGUCCAUGCACCCCUGGGGGUCCAAGACCCUUUCAGAGAGUCUGUGGGGUCAAAAUGAUUCUCUUGAUAACCCUGAGACUCUCUUAGCCUUCUCCUUGUGUUGACGUUGGUGGAUGGUAUGAAGACAGGGUCGUGCAGACCGCCAGCCCCCAGCCUGCAGGGCAGCAGUGCCUGGCCUGCUUGGGGGCAUGGUAUUCCUUUACCACGGUGCGCACUUGCGGGGAUGCCUGUCUCACUGAAGAAUGCCUUUGACAAAGCAGAAAAGCAAUGACCAAUUGCAUUAAAUCUUGCUCCUUGCGUACACACCCCUCGAAUAUUCUGGGUCGGAAAACAUGGGAAGGACACUGAUGUGCGUCUGCCACAGACCAAGGCACACCGCUUCUCUGCAAGAAGCACUUACCCCAGGGCCGGAGUAGCAAAGAGAAUGCGGCACCUUCCCAACCUCCUGAUCCAUUUUUGAUCGGAAGAAUGACCACUGGUACGUGGCUGUUCAUUCUCCUGAACACAGCCUGCCGCUUUAAGGAAAACAUAUGACACUAUUUGUUGCUGGUGAAAUUUACGUUUUCAAGUGAAUAGCAGAAUUCUGGACACUUGGCCGCCACCACCAAGACCUUCAUAGCUUCCCUUAACUUUGAGACGUGGGUGUUCAGAGGUUUUUCACAUGAGAUGGCGUUAGCAGCGCAGUUUUCUGAUACUGCCUGAUGACAUGCCGACAGUGCUCAGAUCUCUUCUGUUGGUGAGCCAGCUUUCCCCACACGGCCAAGUUCUGAUGUGGAACCAUCGCGAGGUGGGUGAAGAUCCAUUGACGGUGAGAGGUGGGCCCGUGGGCUUCAGUGCAGCCAGGCGCAGAAGGCUGGUCCAUGAGUGUAUAGCUCCGCCAGGUAGCUAGCUCACCGCCCCCAGCCUGGGUUCAUGUAGUUCAAAUAGGAAGACCACGAUGAUCAGAAAGGCUGCUCAAAUACUCCUUCGUCCAGCUGCGUACCUGGGGGAGGCUGAGUCUCCACUCACUUCCACCAAGGCUGCGCAGAGCAGAUAGGGGAAUCCAGCGAAGGUGGAAAGCAGUGCCAUCCUUCUCCCCAACUGGUUUUGUUUUGUAAAAUAACUUUUUGUGACAGUGUUACUUACUAGUAACAUGCAGUGGGUUUGUUAUGGUUAACAAUUUGGUGAGCAUUAUUAAGAGGUGAAGCCAGCUGAGCUGCUGGGUUGGGUGGGCACUUGGAGAACUUUUGUGUCUAGCUAAAGGAUUGUAAAUGCAUCAAUCAGCACUCUGUAAAAUUGACCAAUCAGCGUUCUGUAAAAUUGACCAAUCAACGUUCUGUAAAAUGGACCAGUCAGCAGGAUGUGGGCGGGGCCAAAAAAGGGAAUAAAAGCUGGCCACCGCCAGCCCCCACACCAGCCUACAGCAGCAGCCUGCAGCAGCAACCUGCUUAGUUCCACUUCCACACUGUGGAAGCUUUGUUCUUUCACUCUUCUCAAUAAAUCUUGCUGCUGCUC
rnacentral:sRNA from 1 species